rnacentral:rRNA from 1 species
GACGAACGCUGGCGGCGUGCCUAAUACAUGCAAGUUGAGCGAUGAAGAUUGGUGCUUGCACCAAUUUGAAGAGCAGCGAACGGGUGAGUAACGCGUGGGGAAUCUGCCUUUGAGCGGGGGACAACAUUUGGAAACGAAUGCUAAUACCGCAUAACAACUUUAAACAUAAGUUUUAAGUUUGAAAGAUGCAAUUGCAUCACUCAAAGAUGAUCCCGCGUUGUAUUAGCUAGUUGGUGAGGUAAAGGCUCACCAAGGCGAUGAUGCAUAGCCGACCUGAGAGGGUGAUAGGCCACAUUGGGACUGAGACACGGCCCAAACUCCUACGGGAGGCAGCAGUAGGGAAUCUUCGGCAAUGGACGAAAGUCUGACCGAGCAACGCCGCGUGAGUGAAGAAGGUUUUCGGAUCGUAAAACUCUGUUGGUAGAGAAGAACGUUGGUGAGAGUGGAAAGCUCAUCAAGUGACGGUAACUACCCAGAAAGGGACGGCUAACUACGUG